GUGGGUUGCCCUGCUCUACAGUGCUUGCCAGAUAGUAGGCUACCCUCUUCUCUUUCUGAUCUACGUAUUCAUGGAUGUCCUUUGCUUAAGAAACGGUGCCAAAGAGAGACCGGUGAAGAUUGGCCCAAGAUUGCUCACAUCAAGUGCAUAUCAAUUUGGUAACGACAUGACAACGACAGAGGGCUUGCAUCUGCGUGUAAGAUCCUAUUGUUUGAAAUCAUUGUUGAUUCCACAGUUCUAGGGUCUUGCUUGAACUCAUGAUCGAUGGGUUUGACAACGACAUGCCAUAUGAAGGAGAAACAUACCAUUUCCAUUUCCAUUUCCUACGGUAUGUCGCACAUCCCAAUUCUGGUCUUUGCCCUUCCCAAUUCAGUCUUAACAUUGGGAAGUGUAGGGUAAUGUGUCUUCUUUGUGCCCUGUUUCUUGACAUGCAGCUGUUUCGUGGAAAGUGAGCAAAAUUUCGUGAUAUGUUAAGACAGAGAUAGGCUGAGGUUAAGAUUGCUCGCAGGACCAAUAUUGCCAUGUCUUGAUGUCUGAGUUAUAUCCAGCAGAGUAUCAAUUGUUCCAAAGACACCCUAUCACCAUCGUCCUCAUCCUCUCCAGCUUACUAGCAUAUACGCUGCCCUUGAUCGGCUUCAGUAUGACAGCUGCAAACAUGCUUAUCCACAUGCCGUUGUAAAAGAGCAAUGAUUAUAGAGAUAUGGAGCCUACUUUCCAUGGCAUCAAAAGCAGUCGAAAGUUUUGAAAACUUAUCUGAAUGUUGAAGGCUAUCGACUUAUACUUGCUCAGAGCAACUUGUUAGACGCUUUCAAGGGACAGAUUGGGUGUCUGCAAGAGGUUUUUGGGUGUCCAUAGCAAUUGUGGAUAGCAUGUACCCAAAAUGGAGGUCAAUCGAUUGAAGUGAGUGAUGAUCAAGGAGGCAGGUGCAGGUCAGUAGGAGAGUUGAGAAGACUGGCCGUUAGGCGCUGAUGGCUAGCGCUGGGAGCUGGCCCUAGCUGUGGUUUACCGCUGGGCUCUUUUGCCGCUUGAGUUAGCUGAUUGCCGCUGAAGCUCACAGCUCGCCAUUGAACACCACUGCUGAAUAUUGCCUCUGGAGCUAGCAGAUUGCAGCUGAAGCGCGGGGCUCGCCGCUGAACACCCCUGCUGAAUAUUGCCGCUGAAGCUUGGGGCUCGCCGUUGGAACUAGCCGAUUGCCACUGAAGCUCACAGCUCGCUGCUAGGUUGCUGGCUGUGGGUUGCUGCUGGGCUCUUUUGUUGCAGGAGCUGUCACCAGGCGGUGCGUUCGCUAGCGAAGGAUCGGUGCUGGUGCUGGCGGUGACCGCUGCUGCUGGUUCUAGCGGAACUGUGAUUGGAGUUCAACGCUGCCAUGAUUGGAGGUCGGCGUUGCCACCGACUGAAGUUUUGGCUCGUUGGCGGAAGGUCGGCGCUACCGUUGACAGAAGCUCGGCAGUGCCGCUGACGGAAGCUCGACAGUGUCGCUGAUUGAAGCUUAGUGCUGGCGCUAGCUGCCUAGCCUUACUGCUAUGGCAACGAGCUGUGAUUAAUACUGGUGCUAUAGCCUUGCUAGCGGUGGCUGAUGAUUAAAGAUGGGAUGAUGAUAGAGGGAAGUUGGGGGAGUUUUGCUUGGUUUCGCAGUGUCUUGGUUUUGACCUGAGCUGCUUAUAUCCUCAGUGUUGCCAACAUAUCCUUCAGACUGUUUCAUCUCCAUAAUGUUAUAGCAAAUCAAGAGUGUAACUAAAUGAAAGAUGGAAGCUGUUGCUGUGCUCGCUAGCCGCUAGCCUUGCUACCACUGGAUGGUUAUGCUAGAAUCGCUAGGAGUUGAAGCCGAAGGUUUUUUUUUUUUUUGAGUGGUUCUGCGUUGACCAGCCCUGCUCGGCGUUGACGAAGCGUUGACUUGCAUAUGGCGUAAGUUUCCGUUGAGAAUAUUAAUUAUGUAACUCAAAGAAAAAUUAUUUUGAGCUCCGUUAAGAUGACUUAACUCAAUGGUAAGUGACAAAACCUUUAUAUCAGCUUCCCA